rnacentral:rRNA from 1 species
ACGAACGCUGGCGGCGUGCUUAACCCAUGCAAGUCGAACGGAAAGGCCCUGCUUUUGUGGGGUGCUCGAGUGGCGAACGGGUGAGUAACACGUGAGUAACCUGCCCUUGACUUUGGGAUAACUUCAGGAAACUGGGGCUAAUACCGGAUAGGAGCUCCUGCUGCAUGGUGGGGUUUGGAAAGUUUCGGCGGUUGGGGAUGGACUCGCGGCUUAUCAGCUUGUUGGUGGGGUAGUGGCUUACCAAGGCUUUGACGGGUAGCCGGCCUGAGAGGGUGACCGGCCACAUUGGGACUGAGAUACGGCCCAGACUCCUACGGGAGGCAGCAGUGGGGAAUAUUGCACAAUGGGCGGAAGCCUGAUGCAGCAACGCCGCGUGCGGGAUGACGGCCUUCGGGUUGUAAACCGCUUUCGCCUGUGACGAAGCGUGAGUGACGGUAAUGGGUAAAGAAGCACCGGCUAACUACGUG